UACUAUUCCAUUUAGAUUAAUGGUGGUUGAUGUUUAGUGAAACAGACAUGAGAUAGAGCUACUAUUCCAUUUAGAUUAAUGGUUGUUGAUGUUUAGUGAAACAGACAUGAGGUAGAGCUACUAUUCCAUUUAGAUUAAUGGUGGUUGAUGUUUAGUGAAACAGACAUGAGGUAGAGCUACUAUUCCAUUUAGAUUAAUGGUGGUUGAUGUUUAGUGAAACAGACAUGAGAUAGAGCUACUAUUCCAUUUAGAUUAAUGGUGGUUGAUGUUUAGUGAAACAGACAUGAGAUAGAGCUACUAUUCCAUUUAGAUUAAUGGUUGUUGAUGUUUAGUGAAACAGACAUGAG
ensembl:lncRNA